GUGGCGAAGGCGGCCCCCUGGACAAAGACUGACGCUCAGGUGCGAAAGCGUGGGGAGCAAACAGGAUUAGAUACCCUGGUAGUCCACGCCGUAAACGAUGUCUACUUGGAGGUUGUGCCCUUGAGGCGUGGCUUCCGGAGCUAACGCGUUAAGUAGACCGCCUGGGGAGUACGGCCGCAAGGUUAAAACUCAAAUGAAUUGACGGGGGCCCGCACAAGCGGUGGAGCAUGUGGUUUAAUUCGAUGCAACGCGAAGAACCUUACCUGGUCUUGACAUCCACAGAACUUUCCAGAGAUGGAUUGGUGCCUUCGGGAACUGUGAGACAGGUGCUGCAUGGCUGUCGUCAGCUCGUGUUGUGAAAUGUUGGGUUAAGUCCCGCAACGAGCGCAAC
rnacentral:rRNA from 1 species